ensembl:lncRNA
GCAACCCAAAACCCAGUAACAUUUGAUUGGUGAGCCACUUUUAAAAGGAGCCACCUGAUAACUCUUAGCGUAGCCACCCAGGAGAAUUAAAAAGCGGGAGAAUUUGGUAACCGAAGGACUGGGGAUGUAGCUCAGUGUCAAGGCCCUGGGUUUAAUCCCCAAUGCCACAAACAAAAAACAAAACCAAAAGAAGACAUGAAAUGGUGAGAGGAUCUUCAGGCCUGAGAAGAGGGUGGAGAUGGAACCCAGGCCCAUGAGCACUCCAGGCCAGGACCCUACCGCUCUGCACCCCUCCUUCCACAGCCUCCCCCAGGAGGGAUCGUCCUCCUUCCCGUCGGAGGUGAUGGCUCAGGAAAGGGCGCACACAGAGCAGGCUCCAGGGAGGACAGGAUUCCUGCUGGGAAGAGCUCUCUCCCUCCUAAACUGAGUCACGGAUGUUCUUAUCAGCAGACAACAGACCACAGGCGCAGGAAGAGUAAAGUUGCUGUGGCUCCUGACCACCUGCUACACAGGUCUGGAAUAGAUAGGUCUCUUCUGGCAUUAGUUUGGUGGCUGAAAUAACAUGGGGCUCAGCAUGUCUGUGACUCUCAGUCCCUCACUGAUAAUGCCACUCCAGCGAUUCUGACUGUUUAAGGGACCAUGCCAGGGAUACUCGUCUUUUUUCUGGAAUGAAAGCCAGACAUUUAGCCAGAUGUAGUGCUGCAUGCAUGCAAUGCUAACACUUGGGAGGCUGAGGCAGGAGGAUCACCUCAAAUUCGAGGCCAACCUGAGAUACAUAGUGAGAUCUUGUCUCAAAAAAACAAAAAAGAAAAUAAAACAAAAACAAAAGCCAAAGGUUUUCCCAGAAACCCUCCUGUACAUGCAUCUCCCAGGCAGUGCUGUGGAUGCAAGGCUGGCUAGGAAGAAUCUUGGAGCACUUCAUGUCACUAGAAGACACAGGAAAGGGACCAAACUAGAGCCAGUUCAGCUGCAAAUAUGAAGGGCACUCAGACCUCCUGGGCCUCUGGUGUCUGGAACCGCACCUUGCUGUAUAUAGCCCGAGCAGGAAGCCAGCACUGCAAAGAACAGAGAGGUGGAAAAAACUGUGUCCAAAACCAACAACUGAAGUGGAAAGUGGGCAGAGAAUGUGCAAACAGAGUUCACAGACAGGGAAAAACACAGCCCUGACUCAUGAAAAAAUGCUCAACCACACUCACAUAAGAAAUUCAAACAAAUAACGCUGCAAUUCCACUUCCCAGCAGUGAACUGGCAGAAAUCCAGGUGUUUGAGAACACAUUCUCUUAGUAAGGCUGGGCAGCAGGCAUCCAGGGCAAAAUGCCUGCCAGGUGUGGUGCACACCUGCAGUCUCAGCACUUUGGGAGGCUGAGGCAGGAGGAUCACAAAUUGGAGCCCAGCCUGAACAACUUAGUGACUUAGUAAGACCUUGCCUCAAAAAUAAAAAAAUUUAAAAGAACAAAAUGGCAGAAUCCUACCAUCACCACCAUGGAGGGGACAGAGGACCAUGAGCUGAUGUUUAGAUCCUCAUUAAAAUCCCAAACCAACUGACCUGGAGGCCACCUUCCAGAGGGACUUCCUCUAAAUGACACAUUAAGGGACUUCCUCACUGAUUAAGUCAGUUUCGAGUGAGAUUUCUGUUAUCUAGAACCAAAUACUCCACAGACAAAUGAUGCUCCUGCCCCAAGGGCCUGAGCCAGGAGCAAAGUGUUCUGUGCAGAAGCCAAAUAAGGAGGUCCACAUGGGUCAUCCAGGGUCCAGCCACAUGCAAACAGGUUCAAGUCCAAAGGCUGAGAUCAUUGCUAACAGCAGACACCCUCAAGGAGGUGGCUGAGCCACUCCGGCAGUGGGUGGGCAGCACAGGGGUGGGCAGUGCAGCCCUGGCCUGUGGAGGGGCCGUGUCUUGAGUGGAUCUGAUCCCGGGGGAUGGGUUGUGGCGACACAGCUGCCUUGGGCCGUCCCUGACCUGAUGUCUUUAGCUAUGUGGUUUAUCUGGGUGUCUUCAGUUGAGGUUUUGGGUUUUUGUUGUGCUUUUUUGGUGCCAAGGAUGGAACCCAGGGCUGCUGGAAUGGUACGCAAGUGCUCUACCACCCAGCUACAC